ensembl:misc_RNA Metazoa_SRP Metazoan signal recognition particle RNA
GCUGGGCAUGGUGGCGUGCACCUAUAGUCCCACCUACUCGGAAGGCUGAGGUGGGAGGAUCGCUUGAGCCCAGGAGUUCUAGUCUGUAGUGUGCGAUGCUACAGGGUGUCCACACUAAGUCCGGCAUCAGUAUCUUACCUCCUGGGAGCAGGGGACCACCAGGUUGCAUAAGGAGGGGUCAGCUGGCCCAGGUGAGAAACUGAACAGGUCAGAACUCCCAUGCUCAUCAGUAUUGGGACUGCACCUGUGAAUAGCCACUGGACUCUAGCCUGGGCAACAUGGAGAGACCCUGCCUCU